rnacentral:rRNA from 1 species
GACGUAGGGCGCGAGCGUUGUCCGGAUUUAUUGGGCGUAAAGAGCGUGUAGGCGGUUAGGUAGGUCCGUUGUGAAAACUCGAGGCUCAACCUCGAGACGCCGAUGGAAACCAUCUGACUAGAGUCCGGAAGAGGAGAGUGGAAUUCCUGGUGUAGCGGUGAAAUGCGUAGAUAUCUGGAGGAACACCGGUGGCGAAGGCGGCAUCCUGGACCGGCAUUGACGCUGAGGCGCGAAAGCCAGGGGAGCAAACGGG